UCGAAAAAGUUUAAAAUUUUGAUUAAAGUUGAAAAAAAUUAACUAAAGACGAUUUUAUUUUAAAACUAAGAGCUAAAAUACUCAAAAUAAAGAUAAACAAAACAAAACCUCUGUUUUUACAGAUUUUUUCUUACUAGAAUAAUAUGAGAAUAGUAUUUUUUUUUUUUUUUGAGAUGGAGACAAUCCUAAAGCAAGCCCAUUUAGAGCAACUCCAACCCAUCUUCAUUUCUCCAAAAUGGAGGCUAAAAUGGAGAUUUCAAACUCUAACCAACCUCCAUUUUGGAGCUCUGACAGAAAUAAAUUACCGUCAAAAUCUCAUUUUUAAAUAUUAUAAAAAAAAUUAAUCUUAAUAAAUAUAUUUCCCAGCGAUAAAUUUCUCGGUUCUAUUUAAAUAUAUUUUUGUAUUGAGAAUUUUUUUAGUCUUGAUUGAAUAUGUUUUCCAAUGAUGCAUAUGCAUAUACAGUGCACAAGAACUGUACGUUGUCUUCAUAUGUAUAUAUUUAUAUGCAUAUUACGUGUACCCAUUCAACGAGGGUCAGGUUCUUCUUCCCAAGUCUAUGUAGUGGAAACCACAGUGAAGGCCAGCUAGGGAUGGCAAUUACCCCCAAAAAAAAUUGGGUCCCCACCCCGCCUUAUAGGCGGGUUGGGGUAAGAAUAAUGGAUUCGGGGGCGGGUAAAUGAAAAAAAUUAAAAUCCAGGUCCAGUUCCGGGUUAUGACAAAAUACUCUUUUUUUUUUAAUUAUAACAAUAUUAUUUAUUCUAUAAUGAUAUAUUUUUUUUACCAUGUAUAAAAAAUAUAUAUCAUUAUAAAAAAAUUAUAUAAACGGGUCAGGUCGGGUAUAGGGGGAAUUUUGAAUCCCAACCCGUCACGAGUUGGGACGGGGGGGAGAGAGGGUUUUCUUAAUCAGGUCGGGUCAGGUUGGACGGACACCGCCCCGUGCCAUCCCUACCAGAAGCGUUGGACAACGCCGGUGGCAGGUGGUUCUGUGGGUGAAGGGAGGGUAAGCCCAAGAUGGAGUAGACGAGAAGUGAAAGCUAGGUUUGUCACCUACAUGUUAAGGGUAUUUCUGGGAUCAAGAAGGCAAUGAAAGGAUGUUUAAAAUGUUUGAUGGACCGAAACUUACCACCUGGUAAUAACUCGAAACCACUGUACUGGCCCGUAAAAGCCCCGCAAAAAUCAAAGCUAGAAGCAAAACCACCGCCCACCCAUUUUUGUUUCUUUGGGCCCAGUGCUGAUUCUGACCAUUUUCAAGCCCCAAAUAAAAAAAUCACACAGAAUAAAGAGACACUGGCCAGCAUGAGUAAACGUGUCAUUGGACCACAACUGCCCUCGACCGAGAGGUGAAUGGUACAUGCGCACCUGUGAUUAUAAUUUUUAAAAAAAUAAACACCAGUUGUUUAAACUGAUCCGAAAAAAUGAGUAUCCUCUAGAAUUUUCCUAAGAUCACUAAAUAACUUUUCGUUCCGCGUAGAAAAGGCAUAGUUAUUAAAAUCGGAUCGAAUCGGUCGGUUCAAUGGUUCAACCGAGACAUGGGCCAUAAAUCGGAUCGGUACAACUAUGUUACCAGAAACGCAAGGAGCCGGAUGGAAACGGCCGAUUUUUUAUCGAAACACGGCCGGUUUUUAAAACGGCCCUUGAAACCGGCCGGUUAUUUAACAGAAAAAUUAAAGUUUUAAUUUUCACAGUUUGACCCCAAAAUUUUAAAUUGAAGUUUUAAUUUUUACAGUUUGACCCCAAAAAAGUUUGAAUUGAAUUUUUAAUUUUAAUAGUUUUUUACUAUGAUAAUUUUACUAUGAAUGGGUAAAAAAAAUAAUUUUUUAUUAUUUAUAAUAAAAUAUUAAUUUUUAUUAUUCUAUUACAUAUAAAUCCGGUUGAACCGUGGUUGAACCGGUGCUUUGACCGAUUCAAUGUUCCGGUUCGGUCUGAAACUAUGAGAAUAAGUAAUGCACAUUCAGACAUCCAUAAUCAUUCACUUAUUUAUAAGAUAAUUUACUAUGUUAUUGAAAAUGGUGGUUACGAGUAAAUAAGAAUGGUGCUUAUCUAUUUAAGCUUUCAAAAAACAAAAUAAAAAAACGACAUAACUUCUCUGCAGUAUUUGGAUGGUGGAGUUUAAGUAUUUAGGUUCUAUUUUUGACGCAUUGUCUAAUGAUACCAAAUAUUGAUUUUAUUUUAAAGUAGUAUUGAUCUUCACGACGGAAAAGGAAAUCUACAAUAUGAACUAUUUUGAAUCAUCAAAACGGAAUCUAAAAAAAAAUCUCUUAAAAUUUACCACCGGUUUGUUAUCCAAUUUUGCAAGUAGAGAAGUGCAUCCAAUAAAAAAUAAAAAGUAAGAUUAAGUGGCAACACAUGAUUGAAUUCUCUUUUGUUUUUUGUGACCAUGGUGCUAAUAAAACUCAAACCCACUGUGCCUAACAAAACAAGAAAAGGGCAGAGAGCAUGAAAAAGAACCAACAGUAGCAGAACAAAUACAAAAACAGGAACAGAACAGACCAAAAUUAA
rnacentral:lncRNA from 1 species